rnacentral:rRNA from 1 species
CGCGAUACAGGGUGACAGCCCCGUACACAAAAGCGCAUGUGCUGUGAGCUCGAUGAGUAGGGCGGGACACGUGAUAUCCUGUCUGAAUAUGGGGGGACCAUCCUCCAAGGCUAAAUACUCCUGACUGACCGAUAGUGAACCAGUACCGUGAGGGAAAGGCGAAAAGAACCCCGGCGAGGGGAGUGAAAAAGAACCUGAAACCGUGUACGUACAAGCAGUGGGAGCACCCUUCGGGGUGUGACUGCGUACCUUUUGUAUAAUGGGUCAGCGACUUAUAUUCUGUAGCAAGGUUAACCGAAUAGGGGAGCCGGAGGGAAACCGAGUCUUAACCGGGCGUUAAGUUGCAGGGUAUAGACCCGAAACCCGGUGAUCUAGCCAUGGGCAGGUUGAAGGUUGGGUAACACUAACUGGAGGACCGAACCGACUAAUGUUGAAAAAUUAGCGGAUGACCUGUGGCUGGGGGUGAAAGGCCAAUCAAACCGGGAGAUAGCUGGUUCUCCCCGAAAGCUAUUUAGGUAGCGCCUCGUGAAUUCAUCUCCGGGGGUAGAGCACUGUUUCGGCUAGGGGGCCAUCCCGGCUUACCAACCCGAUGCAAACUGCGAAUACCGGAGAAUGUUAUCACGGGAGACACACGGCGGGUGCUAACGUCCGUCGUGAAGAGGGAAACAACCCAGACCGCCAGCUAAGGUCCCAAAGUCAUGGUUAAGUGGGAAACGAUGUGGGAAGGCCCAGACAGCCAGGAUGUUGGCUUAGAAGCAGCCAUCAUUUAAAGAAAGCGUAAUAGCUCACUGGUCGAGUCGGCCUGCGCGGAAGAUGUAACGGGGCUAAACCAU